UAACAGUUAGAAAUGACUGCUAAUACCGCAUAAGCGCACAGGACCGCAUGGUCCGGUGUGAAAAACUCCGGUGGUAUGGGAUGGAUCCGCGUCUGAUUAGCUGGUUGGUGAGGUAACGGCCCACCAAGGCGACGAUCAGUAGCCGACCUGAGAGGGUGGCCGGCCACAUUGGGACUGAGACACGGCCCAAACUCCUACGGGAGGCAGCAGUGGGGAAUAUUGCACAAUGGGGGAAACCCUGAUGCAGCAACGCCGCGUGAGUGAAGAAGUAUUUCGGUAUGUAAAGCUCUAUCAGCAGGGAAGAAGAAAGACGGUACCUGACUAAGAAGCCCCGGCUAACUACGUGCCAGCAGCCGCGGUAAUACGUAGGGGGCAAGCGUUAUCCGGAUUUACUGGGUGUAAAGGGAGCGUAGACGGCUGUGCAAGUCUGAAGUGAAAGCCCGUGGCUCAACCGCGGAACUGCUUUGGAAACUGUAUAGCUUGAGUACUGGAGAGGCAGGCGGAAUUCCUAGUGUAGCGGUGAAAUGCGUAGAUAUUAGGAGGAACACCAGUGGCGAAGGCGGCCUGCUGGACAGAAACUGACGUUGAGGCUCGAAAGCGUGGGGAGCAAACAGGAUUAGAUACCCUGGUAGUCCACGCGGUAAACGAUGAAUGCUAGUGU
rnacentral:rRNA from 1 species